UACUGCUUAGCAAAUAAAUGUCAUUGAUGACAUUGUGUGGUACAAAACUGAGACAAUUUAUUUACAAGGGUUGUUGGCUGUUGUACACAACCAUCCAUUGACACCAGAUCAAACAGAUCAAAAUCCUACAAGAAAACUAAGUGUGGCCAUCGCUAUCCAUCAAAGUCAACUUUUGGAGUAACGAAACCAGAGUAAAAUAAUAAAAAAGGCCAGCUUAAUUUAUUUAUCGUAAAUACAUACGCACGAAUUUAAUGUUGUGACAUUCUCUAUUUUACUUCCACUCCAUUAAUUCUUCAAUUCCGGUUCAUUAGACAUUGAAGGAAGCUCCCAUUAUUGAACGUCGUACAUACAUAUUUUGUCUUAUAAUAAAAUAUUAUUCCAAUCUCAGCCAAACUGCCCAACCCACGUAAAAUAGGCGCAUAAAUGGAAAUUUGACGUGCACUAAAUCAACGUUCACUUGGUUAACCAGAAUCACUUGAUGUUAAAUAUUUGCAUUGUAAAAUAGUUUUGGUCAUGCAGUGAAUUAUGAAAAGCAGGUGACAGUUUAUAUGCUAUAAUAAUGUCAUUAUCACAUUAUGUAUACGCAUGUAAAUGUAUGACAUGUACAUGUUUAUAAAUGAUACAAAUUUCUUACUGACUGACCUUAGACUCGUUUUGGUUUUGCAUGUAUUCACAAAAUUAUUAUUUUCAUAAGAGACAAGCAAAUUUAAUUUUACAUUAAGCAUCAUCCAAGUGUUUCAUAUUGCGUGCAGCCAUUUCAGACAAAAUUGAGAUAUUUCAAAAACUUGCAUUAGCUGUACUUCUAUUGACUGACUGAGCACUCAAUCAAUUCACAAUUGCAACUGAAAACGAUAUGACCUGAUGUGUCACACAUUGACGUGAGCAGAAUUUCUGUCAUAUCCACUUAUUCUAUAACAUUUGUUUAUUCUUAACAACUGCCAAAGCUGUCAAAAGUCAGGUCUAACAACAUUUAAAGGUUAACAAGACUGAAGGUUACAGGUGGAGCAUCAUCAAAACUAAAUUUUCUAUUAUCGAUAGUUAAGGUAAUUCGUAAUUAAGUAAGCUAAAAUUAGCGUUGUGUAUUGAUUUGCUUAUUUGCAAUUAAAAAUCGUAUAUUUAAUGUUAAUACCAUUCGGUAAUAUUGAGAAAAAUAGUUGAAACGACAAAUGUCCGAGUGAAUCAAGCAAGGUGCUAAACAAUUUAAUUCGUCUCUAGCCAAGCACGUCAAACAAGACAAGAAAUUUCAAUUAGGCUUAAACAAAACACUUCCAAGUCAAACCGGAUUAGCAAUGGAGCGAAUUAACGAUUUUAUUAAGAACAUAAACGCAUCUGAACAAAUUGGCCGUCAUCGCUGAAUUCAAUUAUGUAUCAGCAGGAGUGCUCUCGUUGGGUAGGUAAUCUUUUCAAUGGGUGUUGAGACAUAUAAAUGCCAAUUAACUUUAUUAAAAAGCAAUUAAAUUAAGGACACGCUUGUAAAUCGCUUGAAUAAUUACUCGAUAUACAUGUGUAGACAUAAUAAAUAUAUAGAUGUGUGUAGCUGAUGAUCACAUGUUACACAGAAUGUAAUGCAAAUACUGUAAAUUAUGACCUUUAGCACAAUGUUAAAACUUAUGAAACCCUAUUAAUUGUUCAGAAGUAAUGGAAAUUGGAAACAAUCGAUGAACGCAAUUGGCUCUUAAAUGUACAAACGUAAGCUUUUGUGAGCAAUAGUGCAACACUUACUUGUAUAUGUAGAUAUUUAAUACUUCAUUUUUAGCCCGAGUUAAGGUUUAUGUACGUAAGUUAUAUGUCUGUCUGUCCUUCCGUCGGACAAACGGCUGAAGCGAUUGAGUUCAAACAUAUGGGGUGAAAAUACAGGUUAAUUUCUAAUAUCAAAAGCGUCAAAAUCAAACGUUGUGGGUCACAUGGAUUGGUGAGAUGUGUAUUAUGCACUAAACAUUUAAAAAAUGGCCCAUUUUUCUUUUGCUUACAAUGUGGAAAAAUCGAAAAUUUUGCAUGUUGGAUAUAGGGGUAAUUUAAUCGCAAAGCACUUCGAACACUGCAUAUAAUGGCGUCAUUUAUUGGCGUCAUUGAUAUACAUAGGUAAUUAAUUUUAAAAAUGCAGUGCAACAAAGGCAUAUAAUAAUUUAAAGUUUAAUAGUUAAAAUCUUUGCAUAAACUAGCAUCAUGCAUAGCACACUCAUUUCUUUCGAAUUUCAAACUUGUACCCUAUCAUUUGUAUCUUAGCUCUUCUCGCAAUAAUUCCAAUAUGAUGCAUAGUUUCACGACAUUGUGUUUCUUGGCUUAUUUCAUUGGUAUUGUUAUCGCUGCUGGAAAUCAUCAUGGGAAAGGGGGAGGUAUGAAGGAUAAAGGUGCAAAGGUAUAACAUAAUUCCAAAAUUAACGUGAAGAUGUAAUAUUUUCCAUAGAACAAAAAUGUAAUAUGAUUCUUUGAAAUUUAAUUUCAGAAAGUUUUCCACAAGCACCAUGAAAAGUUUAAGCCACACCCCAAACACGUCCAGGAGGAUGCCGGGGAGCAGAUCCCUGACGAAAAAAUUACGCAAUUGGUGGAAAAGAACGCUGUUCAAAUUAAGGCUCGAGCUAACUUGGACACUGAAACAGACGAAGACAAGAAGGAAUUAGAAACUGCCUCAGUAGAUGCACUCGCCUACAUCAAGUACUCGGACGCAGAAAAGGACAUUUAUCUUAUCAAGGUGAUAAUAGGGAAUCAGUUCAUUGUACACAUCAAGAUUGGUGUAAAGAAGGGGAGCGAACAAGAUGCUGCAGGCACCCUCAUGACCGUUCUCCCGGAUAAAGAAGAAACGGAUAAACUCAACAAAGCAGAAUUUAAUUGAAUAAAAAAUUGUGUACUGCAUAUUACCAUUAACAAUCUGGUGCAUUCUUCUUACAAAAUUAUCUUUAAAAUACUUCCGUGACUAAAGACCUCACAUUCAUUAUUCAUUGAUGAGAAUACCUACGAACAAUUGAUCAUAAAAAUUAAAUUCAAAAAUGCAUCAUGUAACAAGUACAUUAAUCAUUCUUCUGAAUGUAUUGACGUGUAAAUCAAUUAAGAAAUUUUUGAAGUCAGGCAUUAUGUGUGUAGGUAUAGCUACAUACUGUAUCAUGUAUUUAUUUCACUAUUAAUUUAUUUGAUGUACAUAUAUAAGUAUACAAUGAUGUAUUGUAUACUUAUGCAUAGAAUAUUUGUUGAGAUUACAUAUUUAGGUUAACUUUUACAUAUUUACAAAUCACAAAAAUACAUUUCUCGUGCCUAGGAUAAGUAAGAUAUGAAGUGGGUAGUGAUUUUCAUCGGGCUUGUUGCCGUGGUUUUGGUGAGCUCGGUACCCACCCCAAAAGGCAUACAUUUUUCUUUUUGGGGUCAUCAUAAAGAUCCAAAGACAGCGUAAUCGUCCAAAACAAGGCAAUGUAUGAUUCAUAUCAUAUUUUAUUAAGUGUAAAUAAGCUUGACUCGCAUUUUAAAUCAUACACAGAAAACCUUUGUAGAAGUAAACAAGAAAUUCGAAUUGAAGCCAGAAAUCCAUGUGCUGGAGAAACAGGGGGAAGAACCCCCGACCGAAGCUAUCAAGCAGAUGAUGCAAAAACACGCGGACCAAAUAAAAAAUAGGGCUCAGCUUCCUGUAAUUACGGACGAAGACAGAGCUGAUUUAACGGCCGCACCCUUGGAUUCUCUCGCAUAUAUUCACUACCAAGAUGGAGAGAAUGAAAUUUACCUCGUAAAGGCAAUUAUCGGCAAUCAGUAUGUUGUUCAUGUAAAACUUGCUACUAAGCGAUUAACCGAUGGUAGCGGUGGUUCAUUUCAUCCCGACGUUGCCAAUUCAGUUGUCAUGCUAGUACUCCCUGACAAGGAAGAGCUUGAUAAGCUUAGUCGAGAAGAAUUUGAUAACGUACCGAAAUCGGAAUAAAUAACUUUGAAGCCAAACACUUACAUAAUAUGCGAGAUCCG